CUGUUCGAGCGUCAUUUAUACCAAUCAAGCCUGGCUUGGUGUUGAGGUCCGCUCACCAGCGGCUUCUAAAUGCAGUGGCGGUGCCGUUGGGCUCUCAGCGUAGUAAUACUCCUCGCUGUAGGGUCCCGCGGUCGCUUGCCAGCAACCCCAAAUUUUUAAAGGUUGACCUCGGAUCAGGUAGGGAUACCCGCUGAACUUAA
rnacentral:misc_RNA from 1 species